rnacentral:rRNA from 1 species
AGAACGAACGCUGGCGGCAGGCCUAAGUCAUGCAAGUUGAACGGCUGUAGCAAUACAGCAGUAGCGGACGGGUGAGUAAUGUAUGGGAACGUAUCUUCUAGUGGGGAAUAUCUUUGGAAACGAAGAGCAAUACCGCAUGAGUCCUACGGGAGAAAGUCGCAAGACGCUAGAUGAGCGGCCCAUAUUGGAUUAGCUAGUUGGUUAGGUAACGGCUGACCAAGGCAACGAUCCAUAGCUGGUCUAAGAGGACGAUCAGCCACAUUGGGACUGAGACACGGCCCAGACUCCUACGGGAGGCAGCAGUCAGGAAUAUUGGACAAUGGGGGCAACCCUGAUCCAAGCCAUGCCGCGUGAGUGUUAAGGUCUUCGGAUUGUAAAGCUCUUUUGUGUGGGAAAAUGAUGAUGGUACCACAAGAAUAAGCACCGGCUAACUUCGUGCCAGCCGCCGC